UUCACUCCACUGCAGCCCCGGGAACUUGAAAUAAACAUUGAGGCGGUUUCUGCUAGCAAUUUCAGCUAACUUUACCCAAGAAGCAAAAGAAAAAAGGGGUGGGGGACUUCGGAAUUUGAGUUGGCCAGAAGCACCUGAGAGCUGGCCUCUGCAGCAGGUAAUGGACCACCUCGGAGAGGGCUACAUUUUCUAGAAGUGCUGAAAGUCCCUUCCUGCUGUGUGGUCCCUGGGAGCAGGAACAGAUACCUUAAUAUAUACUGCCCACUCAUAAGAACUGCAGCUCGGAGACAUUUUUAAAGAGGCUGAAACUCUCCAUGAAAGUGUUCCAGAAGUGUAAACUCAGGAAAAUGAACACACAAAGCCAUUUUAUGCAUUAUUUGAAGAUUCAGUGGCAACCAGUGUGGGGAAGCGGUGGAGCCCGCGCGAAGCGAUUGUGAGGGGCUCUGCUGGAAUUUGGCAACGUGGAGGCUUGGAGAGCAGCCCCAUGCUGGCUCCUAUUCAGCAGGCCAGUUUUCCUCGAGCUUUGGAAGUUUCACUCAGCCGUGCACUCAAUGGCUUCACAAAGCUGAUUACAAGCUUCAGCGCAUUCCUGAAGGAGCCAAAAGCGACGCAGGUGCAAACGAGCCGAGGGAGCCCCUUAUCCCGGUGACAGAAUGGGACAAGCUGGGAAAGGCUUGGACCACACAAAUCCAAGCUCACCAGGCAGCAGAAAGCCUGCCUUGGGAACCGGGGGUCAUUAUCCGCCCUAUUCAGCGGGGCCCGGGGACCCUAGGGGUCCGAAAGGCCGGCCUGCGCCGGAGCGCCAGUGCGCGUCUGUGGGAGUGGAGACCUUGCCUAGCCCUGCGGCGGGGCUGGGGCGCUGAACAGCGGUGUGUGCGUUUCGACCUACAGCAUCCUCGAUAUCCGUGAUCCGACGGGCCAUGUCAACACCACUAGGGACAAAGGAGGAAAGGGCGUGCAAGAGGCAACACGGGCGUGGACAGUGCGCAACGUGGUUCACCCCGAGUCAGAUGGCACUGCCCUACCCCCUUUCCAGCCUGGAGCGGCAGGUCCCUGUCGGUUCCCCAGGCCACCGACUUAGCUCAGAGAGUCACACUGUGCCUUUUCUCCCCCAGUGCGCUUUUCCCAUUCAUCCUCGCGGCUACCGGGGCCGCGGGGGGGCGGCUACACGAGGUGCGCUGGGAGCUACAGUGAUUAGGCAGUAGAAUCUGGGGGCACUCAGCCACAGGGCC